rnacentral:rRNA from 1 species
GAUGAACGCUGGCGGCGUGCCUAACACAUGCGAGUCGAGCGAACGGACGAGAAGCUUGCGUUUCUGAUGUUAGCGGCGGACGGGUGAGUAACACGUGGAUAACCUACCUAUAAGACUGGGAUAACUUCGGGAAACCGGAGCUAAUACCGGAUAAUAUUUUGAACCGCAUGGGUCAAAAGUGAAAGACGGCGUUGCUGUCACUUAUAGAUGGAUCCGCGCUGGAUUAGCUAGUUGGUAAGGUAACGGCUUACCAAGGCGACGAUGCGUAGCCGACCUGAGAGGGUGAUCGGCCACACUGGAACUGAGACACGGUCCAGACUCCUACGGGAGGCAGCAGUAGGGAAUCUUCGGCAAUGGGCGAAAGCCUGACGGAGCAACGCCGCGUGAGUGAUGAAGGUCUUCGGAUCGUAAAACUCUGUUAUUAGGGAAGAACAUAUGUGUCAGUAACUGUGCACAUCUUGACGGUACCGAAUCAAAAAGCAACGGCUAACUACGUG